rnacentral:rRNA from 1 species
GAUGAACGCUGGCGGCGUGCCUAACACAUGCAAGUCGAACGGACAUUUUUUGGAAAGCUCUUCGGAACUGGAAUCUAAAUGUUAGUGGCGGACGGGUGAGUAACGCGUGAGCAAUCUGCCUUUCAGAGGGGGAUAACAGCCGGAAACGGCUGCUAAUACCGCAUAAUGCAUCGGAUUCGCAUGUUUCUGAUGCCAAAGAUUUUAUCGCUGAAAGAUGAGCUCGCGUCUGAUUAGCUAGUUGGCGGGGUAACGGCCCACCAAGGCGACGAUGCGUAGCCGGCCUGAGAGGGCGGACGGCCACACUGGGACUGAGACACGGCCCAG